UGCCAGCCGCCGCGGUAAUACAGAGGCCUCGAGCGUUGCGCGGAAUCACUGGGCUUAAAGGGUGCGUAGGCGGAUACACAAGUGCCUUGUGAAAUCCCCGGGCUCAACCCGGGAACUGCUUGGUAGACUGUGUGUCUUGAGGUCGGUAGGGGUCGCUGGAACAGUUGGUGGAGCGGUGAAAUGCGUAGAUAUCAACUGGAACGCCAAAGGCGAAGGCAAGCGACUGGGCCGAUUCUGACGCUGAGGCACGAAAGCGUGGGGAGCAAACGGGAUUAGAUA
rnacentral:rRNA from 1 species